rnacentral:rRNA from 1 species
AGCGGUAACAGCUCAAAUUUGAAAUCUGGGUCUUUUAGGCUCCGAGUUGUAAUUUGUAGAAGAUGCUUUGGGUGCGGCCCCGGUCUAAGUUCCUUGGAACAGGACGUCAUAGAGGGUGAGAAUCCCGUAUGUGAUCGGUGGCUUGCGCCCGUGUAAAGCUCUUUCGACGAGUCGGGUUGUUUGGGAAUGCAGCUCUAAAUGGGUGGUAAAUUUCAUCUAAAGCUAAAUAUUGGCCAGAGACCGAUAGCGCACAAGUAGAGUGAUCGAAAGAUGAAAAGCACUUUGGAAAGAGAGUUAAACAGUACGUGAAAUUGUUGAAAGGGAAGCGCUUGCAACCAGACUUGCGCGGGGUUGAUCAUCCGGGGUUCUCCCCGGUGCACUCGGCCUCGCUCAGGCCAGCAUCGGUUUUGGUGGUUGGAUAAAGGCCUUGGGAAUGUGACUUCUUUCGGGGAGUGUUAUAGCCCUCGGUGCAAUGCAGCCUACCGGGACCGAGGACCGCGCUUCGGCUAGGAUGCUGGCGUAAUGGUUGUAAGCGACCCGUCUUGAAACACGGACCAAGGAGUCUAACAUCUAUGCGAGUGUUUGGGUGUCAAACCCAUACGCGUAAUGAAAGUGAACGGAGGUGAGAACCCUUAAGGGUGCAUCAUCGACCGAUCCUGAUGUCUUCGGAUGGAUUUGAGUAAGAGCAUAGCUGUUGGGACCCGAAAGAUGGUGAACUAUGCCUGAAUAGGGUGAAGCCAGAGGAAACUCUGGUGGAGGCUCGCAGCGGUUCUGACGUGCAAAUCGAUCGUCAAAUUU